AUUCACUGCAGAAAUGUGUAUUUUCAGCAUAUUUAAAUUUUUGAGUGAACCAUUCCUUUAAUAGCCUGAGAGUCUAGUUUUAGGCAUUUUAUGAGUUUGCUUUCAUCCCUGCGGCACUAAAUUAAAAAAAUGAAAUGGUCAUUAAUUUGUUAAUAAUAACAAACUACAUUUGAUGACCCUCUAAUAUUAGUGUGCAUUUGUUUAAAUUGCACUUUCUUGAUCAUAUGAAACAAGUUGUUAUACGCACAAAAAAGAAAUUCAUGCCUAGUUGGCGACUAAAAUCCCCUACUAUACUGAAAGAACAAAUGUGCUGAAAUCCUGAAUCAUAAUUUGAUGAAAGCAUCUGACAGAUCAUUUAGCUCUUCCAUUAUCUUCUCUUCUUAUCCAAGGUUGUAUAAUUUGUGUUGGUGUUGAAUGCUCAUGGUAUGGAUCUUUGAGAUUCACAUCUUCAUGAACUGGUCUCUUAUUUUUAUGUGAAGCUUAACAAAUGUUAAUAAUAUAGUUCAUUAUAUUGAAGUAGUUUCUUUCAAACUCAGACUUGUUAGAUAGAGAGGUGCCUUUCCCACUCAUUGUGGUAGACUGAGUUUAAUGUAAUCAGGUUGGAGCACUUUUAUGACCUCAUGUGUAUUAUAGUUUGCAUGGCUGAGAGAAAGUAGGUCUCAGUUUUUGUCUAUGUUUGUAACAAAACAUACGAGUUGAGAUUGUUUUUAUAUGGCAGCGUUACCCCUAAAAUAAAAAAGGCAAGGGGAAUGUACCAACUUAGCAUGUGCCUGACAAUGUUUUUUU